CCCAACCCUGACGGAACAACGCCCCUUGGGGGAGGAAUUUUUGUCGAUUUUUAACCCCUUUUCUCAGGGAAAUUUCUACGGUUCCCUGGAGGAAUCAGCAUCCGCUAAUUCCGUGCCAGCAGCCGCGGUAAGACGGAGGAUGCAAGCGUUAUCCGGAAUUAUUGGGCGUAAAGCGUCCGUAGGCGGUUAUUCAAGUCUGCUGUCAAAGCGUGGGGCUUAACUCCAUAGAGGCAGUGGAAACUGAGUGACUAGAGUGCGGUAGGGGUCGAGGGAAUUCCCAGUGUGGCGGUGAAAUGCGUAGAUAUUGGGAAGAACACCAGUGGCGAAAGCGCUCGACUGGGCCUGCUCUGACACUGAGGGACGAAAGCUAGGGGAGCG
rnacentral:rRNA from 1 species